GCGAAGAGUUGUGCGGUGAUUCGAGGGAGUCGUGCGUGUGUUGUUGUGCGUAGGUCGAGAGCGAGCGAAGGGUGCGUCGCUGCUGUGCGCGCCAGCGAACCGAAGAAGGCUCGAGUGGGGCUGUGUGGCGAGCGAAGGCCACCGGAGUUCCGUCGCCGGAAUUUUGUGCCGGCGAAAGUCAGUGGUCCCAAUUUCAUAAGCGGCUCGUUCUAUUAAGUCAGCGAAAAUUCUCCGUUACAAGAUGGUUCACGACAUAGGCUGUAGGGACUUUUUGAUGAAACAAGUAGGGGAAGACUGGGAUAUGUGGUUCUUUAAAAUGAAGUCUGCUAUGGAUUACAGAAUUAUGCAAGGGGAACAAUGGUUACGAUCUGAGGGCUCUAGGAUACACUUCAUGCUUCGUUAUGUUCCAGAUAUAGAGCCAUAUAGAUUUGUUCAUCGUAGGUAUGGGGAUAUGUGGACUCCAGAAGGGUAUUUCAAUAGGAAUAAGCAUACCUACGGAUAUCCAGAACCUGCCUUCCGAAAAGCACUUCCUCACUGACCUUAAAUACUGCGAGAAUGAGUGGAGGGUUCGUGAGACCAGGGGUCAAAACCCUUCUACUUCAUCUGAAAGGGAAAGUUCGAGCAAUAGGGCCAUAGAUGGGAAUUCUGAGAACCCAGGGGUCAUACCUGAACCGCCAUCAGCACC